rnacentral:rRNA from 1 species
CCCUUAGAUGUCCUGGGCCGCACGCGCGUUACACUGAUGCAUUCAACGAGCUUAUAACCUUGGCCGAGAGGCCUGGGCAAUCUUGUUAACGUGCAUCGUGAUAGGGAUAGAUUAUUGAAAUUAUUAAUCUUGAACGAGGAAUUCUUAGUAAACGCAGAUCAUCAAUCUGCAUUGAUUACGUCCCUGCCCUUUGUACACACCGCCCGUCGCACCUACCGAUUGGAUGGUCCGGUGAAGCCUCGGGAUUGUGGUUCUUGCCGCUUUAUUGUGGCGUGACCGCGAGAACUUGUCUAAACCUUAUCAUCUAGAGGAAGGUGAAGUCGUAACA